rnacentral:lncRNA from 1 species
UCCAAUUGUCGAAGUUGCACUUGUUGAGCAUGGGGACUUGAAACGAUUGUAAAUUCGCCAUACCACAAGUAGAAUCUUGUGGCUCUGAUACCACUUUGUUGGAAAUAUAGAUGUUAUAUAUAUGUGGGAGGAUUUAUAAUGAUGGAGGAUUUAGUUUUUGAAAAUGUGUAAAGUGGGGUGGACGUGUAUUAGAAAGAAAAUAAAGAAAUUGAUUUCAAAGCUUCCAACUUAAU